rnacentral:rRNA from 1 species
UACGUAGGGUCCGAGCGUUAAUCGGAAUUACUGGGCGUAAAGCGUGCGCAGGCGGUUUUGUAAGCCAGAUGUGAAAUCCCCGGGCUCAACCUGGGAACUGCAUUUGGGACUGCAAGGCUUGAGUACGGCAGAGGGGGGUAGAAUUCCACGUGUAGCAGUGAAAUGCGUAGAUAUGUGGAGGAACACCGAUGGCGAAGGCAGCCCCCUGGGUUAACACUGACGCUCAUGCACGAAAGCGUGGGGAGCAAACAGG